rnacentral:rRNA from 1 species
GACGUAGGGUGCAAGCGUUGUCCGGAUUUAUUGGGCGUAAAGAGCUCGUAGGCGGCUUGUUGCGUCGACUGUGAAAACCCGUGGCUUAACCGCGGGCUUGCAGUUGAUACGGGCAGGCUAGAGUUCGGUAGGGGAGACUGGAAUUCCUGGUGUAGCGGUGAAAUGCGCAGAUAUCAGGAGGAACACCGGUGGCGAAGGCGGGUCUCUGGGCCGAUACUGACGCUGAGGAGCGAAAGCGUGGGGAGCGAACAGG